rnacentral:lncRNA from 1 species
AAUUAAAAAAAAUUUGAUAUUUCACAAUAUUGUGCAAUUAGAUAUUUCUUGCCAUUGCGCAAUACUGUGCAAUUGAAAAGACUUGCUAUUGCACAAUACUUAAUAUAAUAAUUUUAGAUCCUGAUUUGGACCAACUUGAAAACUGGGCCCAUAAUAAAAAAUCUAAGUACAUUUUUGGAUUCAGCAUAUCAAAGAACUUCAAGAUUUCAAUUUUUGUUAAAAUCAGACUAAGUUUAAUUUUGGACCCUUUGGACUUGAGUGUAGACCAAUUUGAAAACAGGACCAAAAAUGAAGAAUCUACAUACACAGUUAGAUUUGGUAUAUCAAAGAACCCCAUUUAUUUUCAAUUUUUGAUGAAAAUCAAACAAAGUUUAAUUUUGGACCCGCGAUUUGGACCAACUUGAAAACUGGGCCAAUAAUCAAGAAUCUAAGUACAUUUUUAGAUUCAGCAUAUCAAAGAACCUAACUGAUUCAUUUUUUGUCAAAAUCAAACUAAGUUUAAUUUUGGACCCUUUGGACCUUAAUGUAGACCAAUUUGAAAACGGGACCAAAAGUUAAGAAUCUACAUACAUGACAGUUAGAUUCAGCAUAU